rnacentral:lncRNA from 1 species
CCAGUUUUAAAAAUUCCAAAUUAGAAACACGCAAUAGGUAGGACAAAAAAUCUAUUCCAAGAUAACAAUUGACUAUAACAAACACAAGCAAUAAAAACAAAUAUCAGACAUCAUAAUCCCCAACUAUAUGACACAUUAAAAGCUUGUUCUUGAAGAAACACAACCGUUACCAAGGAGUACACAAGAAAAUGAAGCUUUGCGGCAGAAUUUGUAUCAUUUUGCACCAGAUAUACUGCUGCAGGGUUCUUAUCUUGAAGCCUAACAUCUGUGGUGGUGAUGUCUUUCCUUUUGCGUACUGAAAUGAUUCCUGAAGGUGGAUGUUUUUUAUGAACAAAAGAGAAGAACAAAGAGGAACCGACAAGAUCAGCAGGACAAGGGCAUGGUGAAUCAUAUUUCCUCGUCUAUUCUAUAUGUCCUUGUUAGUUACCAUUUUCACUGUUAAGGGACCACACGAAAGAGGUAUAUGAGACCACGCCAACAGGUAUAUCCGCAUGAUAUACGAACGCAUGACAGAAAAGAGCCGAAAAAUUAACUCUGACUAUCCAUGACCAAAUACGUGAAUCCUGGCGGAGAUCCACGAGCCCCCGCACUUGCGUGCCCUAGAUACACUCCCCCAUCAUUGAAAGAUGUUUGUCAAAGCGACCCUAUGCAGUUGGUCUUCAUCGUCGAUUAUUACUGAUGCAAGGACUUAGUCUUUAUGUACUGGUACUAACCGACGGGUGACUACCACAAUGUUUGCCAGGUUGGAAACAAGAUGACGCCCACCACGUCCAUGAUAAGAUGCCAAAAAUUCCACAUGCGACAUCUAAUUGUUCUUGGAAGCAUCCCAGUCCAAGUAGCACUACAGGUAGCAAACUUCUCGUAAAACAUAUUUUCUCUCAUUAUCUAGUAUUGUCUAUUGGUGAAACUAUUUUUUUGAACUACGGCAAGUAGAAGGAGUUGUAAGCAGGCUACAAGUAUGCGGAGCGCGAUUACAUUGGUUAUCCACCCACCACACAUAAAGAUAAUACAUUUCUUUCUAAACGAAAGAUCGUGAAUCCCACUAUCCUUGUUAUACAAUUCAACACUAGCUGGCUCUUUGCGUCUUGGUUGAAGCAUAAGAUAUAUAUUUCAAAUGAAAUGAUACACGUGAAGCUAAUGAGGGAGUAAAAUAAAAACAUCACCAGAGGGGGGCGGGGGGAAACACACAACAUCAGACCUUUUGAACACAAUGCUUUCAGCCUCCAGUUAGGCUGCUAGACCCGAGAUACAUGGUUUUUCAGUGUGAGAAUCGUUCCACUAAAGGUGCAAUCACAACUGUUUCAUGAAUGAUCAAUCCGUGUAUCAUAUUUUUUACUUAUAUCUGUUUUGAAACUAAGGUUAACUGAUCUGUACAAUAACAAUCAAGUGGCCAAAAGUUGUUCCACUGCCUUGUAAAUACAACAUAUGCAAAUUGUAGCACAAAACUUAGCCUCCCGGGUUCUACGAACAAUAUUUAUUUGCCGAAGGGGCGUGUUCCCUCCAAUUUAUUUAAGUGAAGGUGACCACUGACCACUAUAAAAAAAACUAAGAAUCAAAAUAAUAGCCACUUUAAGUUUAGAAAACUAAGCUAGGGAACAUUAAGUAUAGAAACAAAAUAAUAGCCAACACGCGCACUACUUCACUUAUUAAAACAAGCUAGAAGUACAAGAAUUAAAACGUUGCUAGGAAGUGGACAACCCCACGAACCCAAAAUAUUUUUGCCAACUCCAUUUCUGCCCAUCAUUGUUUCCAUUAUUGCAAAGAACAAGCACAUCCAACUUCCUUCUUCAUGUUCAUUAACAAUCAAUCAUUCACGGGAUCAUAUAGAGGCACCAGCCUCACUUGCAAUGAAAGAAUUAUUGGCCACCAGCAGAACAAGUUCUGCUCCAUUGCAUGGCGACUGUUCAAGAUUUUGCCUCACUAAGUUGCACAAGAAAGAUAUGUAAUGAGAAACCAUAAACACUAGACUUAUAAGUUCAUUAGGAUAUAUUUGUCUGGCAUAGACAUCAUUCAUGUAUUUUCACAAAGUCCAAAUACAAAAACAAUAACCCUAGGUUUACCCAGGACAAGGAUUUGUGGCACGCCAGUGCGCGGGUAUGCAUGUCUCUGGUGUCCGCUUUUCCCACGUUUGAUCUUUAAAAUUUUAUAUCUU